GGGUUGUGGCUCAGUGGUAGAGUGCUCGCCUAGCAUGUGCGAAGUGCUGGGUUCAAGACCCUGCCUCA
rnacentral:tRNA from 1 species